AGCAGCCGCGGUAAUUCCAGCUCCAAUAGCGUAUAUUAAAGUUGUUGCAGUUAAAAAGCUCGUAGUUGAAUUUCGGGAUCAAUAUGUUGGUCGUGCCUUGGUACGUACUGGCGUCAUUGGUUUCUACCUUCUGAAGAACCUCGAUGUCAUUAAUUUGGUGUCUUGGGGAAUCAGGACUGUUACUUUGAAAAAAUUAGAGUGUUUAAAGCAAGCUCACGCUUGAAUACAUUAGCAUGGAAUAAUGAAAUAGGACGUUUGAUUCUAUUUUGUUGGUUUCUAGGAUCGACGUAAUGAUUAAUAGGGAUAGUUGGGGGCAUUAGUAUUCAAUUGUCAGAGGUGAAAUUCUUGGAUUUAUUGAAGACUAACUACUGCGAAAGCAUUUGCCAAGGAUGUUUUCAUUAAUCAAGAACGAAGUUAGGGAUCGAAGACGAUCAAAUACCGUCCUAGUCUCAACCAUUAAACGAUGCCGACCAGGGAUCGGCGGAUGUUACUUUUAGGACUUCCGCCGGCACCUUAUGGGAAACCAAAGUGUUUA
rnacentral:rRNA from 1 species